UGGGGAAUAUUGCACAAUGGGCGCAAGCCUGAUGCAGCCAUGCCGCGUGUGUGAAGAAGGCCUUCGGGUUGUAAAGCACUUUCAGCGAGGAGGAAGGGUGGUGUGUUAAUAGCACAUUGCAUUGACGUUACUCGCAGAAGAAGCACCGGCUAACUCCGUGCCAGCAGCCGCGGUAAUACGGAGGGUGCAAGCGUUAAUCGGAAUUAUUGGGCGUAAAGCGCACGCAGGCGGUUUGUUAAGUCAGAUGUGAAAUCCCCGCGCUUAACGUGGGAACUGCAUUUGAAACUGGCAAGCUAGAGUCUUGUAGAGGGGGGUAGAAUUCCAGGUGUAGCGGUGAAAUGCGUAGAGAUCUGGAGGAAUACCGGUGGCGAAGGCGGCCCCCUGGACAAAGACUGACGCUCAGGUGCGAAAGCGUGGGGAGCAAACA
rnacentral:rRNA from 1 species